rnacentral:rRNA from 1 species
GAUGAACGCUGGCGGCGUGCCUAAUACAUGCAAGUCGAGCGAACGGACGAGAAGCUUGCUUUUCUGAUGUUAGCGGCGGACGGGUGAGUAACACGUGGAUAACCUACCUAUGAGACUGGGAUAACUUCGGGAAACCGGAGCCAAUACCGGAUAAUAUUUUGAACCGCAUGGUUCAAAAGUGAAAGACGGUCUUGCUGUCACUUAUAGAUGGAUCCGCGCUGCAUUAGCUAGUUGGUAAGGUAACGGCUUACCAAGGCAACGAUGCAUAGCCGACCUGAGAGGGUGAUCGGCCACACUGGAACUGAGACACGGUCCAGACUCCUACGGGAGGCAGCAGUAGGGAAUCUUCCGCAAUGGGCGAAAGCCUGACGGAGCAACGCCGCGUGAGUGAUGAAGGUCUUCGGAUCGUAAAACUCUGUUAUUAGGGAAGAACAUAUGUGUAAGUAACUGUGCACAUCUUGACGGUACCUAAUCAGAAAGCCACGGCUAACUACGUGCCAGCAGCCGCGGUAAUACGUAGGUGGCAAGCGUUAUCCGGAAUUAUUGGGCGUAAAGCGCGCGUAGGCGGUUUUUUAAGUCUGAUGUGAAAGCCCACGGCUCAACCGUGGAGGGUCAUUGGAAACUGGAAAACUUGAGUGCAGAAGAGGAAAGUGGAAUUCCAUGUGUAGCGGUGAAAUGCGCAGAGAUGUGGAGGAACACCAGUGGCGAAGGCGACUUUCUGGUCUGUAACUGACGCUGAUGUGCGAAAGCGUGGGGAUCAAACAGGAUUAGAUACCCUGGUAGUCCACGCCGUAAACGAUGAGUGCUAAGUGUUAGGGGGUUUCCGCCCCUUAGUGCUGCAGCUAACGCAUUAAGCACUCCGCCUGGGGAGUACGACCGCAAGGUUGAAACUCAAAGGAAUUGACGGGGGCCCGCACAAGCGGUGGAGCAUGUGGUUUAAUUCGAAGCAACGCGAAGAACCUUACCAAAUCUUGACAUCCUUUGACAACUCUAGAGAUAGAGCCUUCCCCUUCGGGGGACAAAGUGACAGGUGGUGCAUGGUUGUCGUCAGCUCGUGUCGUGAGAUGUUGGGUUAAGUCCCGCAACGAGCGCAACCCUUAAGCUUAGUUGCCAUCAUUAAGUUGGGCACUCUGAGUUGACUGCCGGUGACAAACCGGAGGAAGGUGGGGAUGACGUCAAAUCAUCAUGCCCCUUAUGAUUUGGGCUACACACGUGCUACAAUGGACAAUACAAAGGGCAGCGAAACCGCGAGGUCAAGCAAAUCCCAUAAAGUUGUUCUCAGUUCGGAUUGUAGUCUGCAACUCGACUACAUGAAGCUGGAAUCGCUAGUAAUCGUAGAUCAGCAUGCUACGGUGAAUACGUUCCCGGGUCU